UACGAAGGGGGCUAGCGUUGCUCGGAAUUACUGGGCGUAAAGCGCACGUAGGCGGUCUUUUAAGUCGGAGGUGAAAUCCUGGAGCUCAACUCCAGAACUGCCUCGAUACUGGAAGACUUGAGUCCGGGAGAGGUGAGUGGAACUGCGAGUGUAGAGGUGAAAUUCGUAGAUAUUCGCAAGAACACCAGUGGCGAAGGCGGCUGCACUGGCCCGGUACUGACGCCG
rnacentral:rRNA from 1 species